AAUAGAUACCCGGGUAGUCCAUGCCGUAAACGUUGGGAACUAGAUGUAGGGACCAUUCCACGGUUUCUGUGUCGCAGCUAACGCAUUAAGUUCCCCGCCUGGGGAGUACGGCCGCAAGGCUAAAACUCAAAGGAAUUGACGGGGGCCCGCGCAAGCGGCGGAGCAUGCGGAUUAAUUCGAUGCAACGCGAAGAACCUUACCAAGGCUUGACAUAUACGAGAACGGGCCAGAAAUGGUCAACUCUUUGGACACUCGUAAACAGGUGGUGCAUGGUUGUCGUCAGCUCGUGUCGUGAGAUGUUGGGUUAAGUCCCGCAACGAGCGCAACCCUCGUUCUUGUUGCCAGCACGUAAAGGUGGGAACUCAAAGGAGACUGCCGGGGUCAACUCGGAGGAAGGUGGGGAUGACGUCAAAUCAUCAUGCCCCUUAUGUCUUGGGCUUCACGCAUGCUACAAUGGCCGGUACAAAGGGCUGCAAUCCGUAAGGUGGAGCGAAUCCCAAAAGCCGGUCUCAGUUCGGAUUGAGGUCUGCAACUCGACCUCA
rnacentral:rRNA from 1 species